rnacentral:rRNA from 1 species
UACGGAGGGGGCUAGCGUUGUUCGGAAUUACUGGGCGUAAAGCGCACGUAGGCGGACUGUGAAGUCGGGGGUGAAAUCCUGGGGCUCAACCUCAGAAUUGCCUCCGAUACUGGCAGCCUCGAGUGCGGGAGAGGUGAGUGGAAUUCCCAGUGUAGAGGUGAAAUUCGUAGAUAUUGGGAAGAACACCAGUGGCGAAGGCGGCUCACUGGCCCGUAACUGACGCUGAGGUGCGAAAGCGUGGGGAGCAAACAGG